AUUCACCAUAGCAUGGUGAUGGAAGAUCCAGAAUGAGUUUUUCAGUUUUAAGUGCAAGCAAUAGGAAAAGCACUGAGAGGGAUGCUCACCUAUUUCAAGACCCAAAAUGCAAGGAAUUGAUACAAAUGAUGACCAUAUGCUGCUAGAAAAUGCAGAAUGAUUAUUCUAGCUUGAAGUGCAAGCAAUAGGAAAAGCACUGAGAGGGAUGCUCACCUAUUUCAAGACCCAAAAUGCAAGGAAUUGAUACAAAUGAUGACCAUAUGCUGCUAGAAAUGCAGAAUGAUUAUUCUAGCUUGAAGUGCAAGCAAUAGGAAAAGCACUGAGAGGGAUGCUCACCUAUUUCAAGACCCAAAAUGCAAGGAAUUGAUACAAAUGAUGACCAUAUGCUGCUAGAAAAUGCAGAAUGAUUAUUCUAGCUUGAAGUGCAAGCAAUAGGAAAAGCACUGAGAGGGAUGCUCACCUAUUUCAAGACCCAAAAUGCAAGGAAUUGAUACAAAUGAUGACCAUAUGCUGCUAGAAAAUGCAGAAUGAUUAUUCUAGCUUGAAGUGCAAGCAAUAGGAAAAGCACUGAGAGGAUGCUCACCUAUUUCAAGACCCAAAAUGCAAGGAAUUGAUACAAAUGAUGACCAUAUGCUGCUAGAAAAUGCAGAAUGAUUAUUCUAGCUUGAAGUGCAAGCAAUAGGAAAAGCACUGAGAGGGAUGCUCACCUAUUUCAAGACCCAAAAUGCAAGGAAUUGAUACAAAUGAUGACCAUAUGCUGCUAGAAAAUGCAGAAUGAUUAUUCUAGCUUGAAGUGCAAGCAAUAGGAAAAGCACUGAGAGGGAUGCUCACCUAUAUCAAGACCCAAAAUGCAAGGAAUUGAUACAAAUGAUGACCAUAUGCUGCUAGAAAAUGCAGAAUGAUUAUUCUAGCUUGAAGUGCAAGCAAUAAGAAAAACACCGUGAGAGAUGCUCAAGUUCUAUUUCAAGAUUGGAAAUGCAAGG
rnacentral:lncRNA from 1 species